rnacentral:misc_RNA from 1 species
CUCCCAAUACUUUGCAAACCCUUCAAAAAGGAAGACUUCCAACAAUGGUCAAAGGUGCAAGAUACAGCUUUCCUCUGAAGUCAAUCAGCUUCUUUUCACGGGGGUGUGUAUUCAAACUUCCAUCUGUUUCUACAAGUGCACCAUCAGUUACAACUGAUUCCAUUUCUGGACAACCAUUUUCGAGAUCUUUCUCUGGGAUACUUAAUCCUGAUACAAAAUUGAAUUCAAGGUCAGUUACAUGUUCUUAACACCAAAUAAACAGUAAAUACCUUCAACAAGUUGCACUACUCAGGAAUAAAAGCUAAGACAACCAUUAGCUUCUUCACUAGAGCAACACUUUUCUUCAAUAACUGACUUCGCUUUUUUCAGGGACCUUACUUCAUCAGUUGUUAUUAUUUCAUCAGCAUUCUCCUCUGUUAGCACUCCCAAAGAACACUCCCAUUUAUCAGCCAAUUCACGGACCACUUCACCGCAACCAUUCCCAUCAGUAGUGUGAGAGUCAUUCUCAGAGUUCUGAUCAACUUCAACAUCAUCCUGCUUUUUGACGCUUGAAUUGCCAGGUCCCAUAAGCCCAAGAGACCUGAGUUUGGCAUCUGCCUUUGGGAACUUUAUCUUAUUCUUCCACAGAAGCUUUUGAACGUCCUUGUUCAAUCCAUUAAUUUCAUAGCUUUUCUUUACUGCAUUUGAACUAUUGCCUGUAGCGCCAUCUUCAUGUCUGCCAUAGAAUCUACAGGUCAAGUCAUAAGGACACUGCCCUUUACCAGUCGUAAACGGACAUUUCCUCUCUAAAUCAACCGUUUUCUCAGCCUUAAAGGCUUCCAUAUCAUGGCUGAAUCUACACUUCUCACCAUAAGGACACGAACUAAUAGUCUCACUCUUCGCUACUUCGAAGCACAGAUGCAGUGCAGACUUUUGUUCAAAUCCAAUUGAAAAAAAACAAAAACUAAAAGGCAUAAGGAUGGAAAUUCAACAAAAUUUUCAUAAUGUGACGGCCGAAAAGUUGGUGGACCUGACGGCGUUCGCGCUUGAGUUGGCGUUUGGACUUCUUC